GGAAGCCCUAAGCGGGCCCUCUCUCGCCCGGGGCUGGUCGCCCAUCCCCCAUUGCUCCGAGGGGCGAAGGGGCAGCCGGUGUCACCCAGCUUGCCUACGUCACCGCGGGUCCCGAGGUCCGAGUCCCUUCCCCGGGCUGGUAAGCCCUGCUCCCUUCCCUGACCUCAAGGCGCUCUUCGGAAUCUGCGAAGGAAGCAGUUGGGGGCACGGUGCCCGCGAGCUGGGGCGCAGGCCACCGACAUCUGUCCCCUGGUCCCUCCCCGAGCUUGGGGUCAGAACAGAGAUGAGAGACCAGAGGAGAAAGGAAACUCGCCUUUGGGCAUGAUGCCCACGCCGGGAAAGCACUGGCCGACUCUUCGCGGCGCAGGCAUCAUCCCGAUCUUCAUUUUACAGUUGAGGGGAGCCAAGACUCAGCGUGGGGCUGACAAGUUCGCAGGAAAUAAGGAGACGCAACCACAGGCUGGAAAGAUGGAGAAGAGGAGAGAUGAGUAACCAGGAGAGAACCAAUGAGAUGGGCUGGCAGCACCGGAUGAUCCAUGGGGCCAUGGGAAGGCGGGCGACGAAGGCCUACUCAGCAUCUUCAGCUGUUCCCUGGCCCUCCCUGCCAUCUGGACGCCUCCGCUAGGGGAUGUGCUGCUGGCACAGAAGAGAUGCGAGAGGUAGAGGCCAAAGAAGCUGAGCUUGGAGGCUCCAGUGACCCAGGGACGUGGAGACCCUCCCUUUGCCCCUUCGGGGCCUAAGUCUGUGGAUGCUGACCGCCCUCAGCCCACCCCCAAUAACUGGGAAUUUUCCUCUUUGGCUAGUUACGGUGGUGGGGUUCUCUGCCUCUGCCUGCCACGAAAUCGAGUCUUAGACAGACUUUCCCUCUGCACCCUCAUGCCCCUCCCUUGGUGCAUGGUCUGUUCAGAAGCAGUAUCUUUGGGAAGAGGCCUGGCUCCUAAAUCCCAAGCCUGCCACUUACUAGCUAGAGACCCUGAACUAGUGCCGUCCCCCUUUUGAAUCUCCUUUCUUCCCAAAUGGAGGGAGGCCAUCUACUUUUCUGAAUUGUCAUGAGGAUGGAAAGAAAUAACAGAUGGUAAGCCUCACACACAGUAACAAUGAAUGGUGACCCCACCCCCACACCUUCUCCUUUCUGGGUCUCCUCCCCAGGGCAGUUGACCCAGCAGUGCUCAAGAAUAAACCAAGGCUCUUUGAGAGCCAUAGGAGAGGA